CAAAGCGUAGCUUAACACAAAGCAUCUGGUCUACACCCAGAAGAUUUCACAACAACGUGACCACUUUGA
rnacentral:tRNA from 2 species